rnacentral:rRNA from 1 species
UACGGAGGGUGCAAGCGUUAUCCGGAUUCACUGGGUUUAAAGGGUGCGUAGGUGGGUUGGUAAGUCAGUGGUGAAAUCUCCGGGCUUAACCUGGAAACUGCCAUUGAUACUAUCAAUCUUGAAUACCUUGGAGGUGAGCGGAAUAUGUCAUGUAGCGGUGAAAUGCUUAGAUAUGACAUAGAACACCAAUUGCGAAGGCAGCUCACUACACGGUCAUUGACACUGAGGCACGGAAGCGUGGGGAUCAAACAGG